AAGGCAUUCAGAGGCUUCUUCACGUGGGGCUUCUUUUCUUCCUCCUUUUUCACGGUGACUGGUGAUUUCCUGGGAAGGCACAUGACUGUAGGAGAGAAGAAGCACCAUGUCCCUGAAAGGACAGGGACCCAGAAGGUCCGAGGGAGUAAGUCCCAACGGAGAGGGAGAGCCUGGCUGGGAAGGCUGUGCUGCCUGCUGAGUGACACCGAGAGAGAAGAGUACAUGGCAUUUGCUGCUCAGUGCGUGGACACCCCUCUUCACAGCCUGUACCCUCCCACCCGAAAUCCAGGCUGCCGUUUACUUACGCGCUCACUGCAGGGCUCAGGCUGGGGGGUGCCGGUUCCUGCUUGACGAUGGGGGAGACGAUGGCAGGGUGGGGGAUCCCUGAGGUGGGCAGGCCAGGGUGGGCAGGAGCCACCAUGUGAGGAGAGAACCGACUGGAGACCAGGCUGUGCACCGGAUAGAAACAAAUGAUAACAGAGGGAUUCAGGCUGGAUACCUGCCACCCGGCAGAGGACACGGUGGCUCUCUGCCUUGAGGGCACAGGUAUGUCCGUGGGGCCGAGUCUGAGGACUAGAAGGCUAUUUGUCGUCUUCUAGAGAACCAGGUUUGGGAGAUGCCUAAUGCCUCUUCCCUCUCCCCACCAACACCCAGGCUGCCCAUCUGGUGCUGGAAGCAGGCGGGAUGAAACACACAAAAGGGGCGGAGGGUCAGAGACCCAGGCACGCUGGGGAAAAGAAGGGCUUAGGCUGUGGGUGACUUUUCCUCUGUCCUCAGAGUUUCCACUGUCAGGUAGAGCUGGUCCCUAAGACAGAAAUCCCCUUUCACUGUCUCCUCUCCUGACAUCAUUUCAGGAAAAAUUCAUCAUCUCCCAGUCCCUGGCUUCAGUGCAAUAUACAGACAGUCCGCAACUUAGGAUUUUUGACUUUAUGAUGGUGCAAAAACGGUAUGAAUUCAGUACUCUGUUUGACCUAGAUGGGGUUAUGUCUGGAUAAAACCAUCAUAUGUUGCAAAUAUUCUAAGGUGAAAGUGGUGUUUUCAAUGUACGAUGGGUUUAUCAGGACGUGGCUCUGUCCUAAGUCGGGGAGCACCUGUCCUCAAAAUGCUUCUGUACCAGAGCCCACGGCAGGAGGCAGAGCGCUGGGGCUUUGAAAUCCUUUUGUUGGAGAGAUGGGGACAGUGACCCUGUGGUCUCCAUUCUGACCUGGGGGUGGGAAGCGCGGGGCACAAGAAGGUGCUUGACCAAAGAGAGGUUGGGGGAAGGGUGAGCCCUAUGCUGGCUCAUUACCUGGCAAGGAAAAGCUGUUUCGUGGUCAGAAAUGGCGUGGUUGCUAAGACAAACGUGGACAGCCCCAGCCCCGGAACUCACCUGGACAUUGAGGCGUUCAUGGCGAGGGCGGGGUAAGGGUGCCGGAAGCCACCAGGAGGAAGGGAGUACAUGGGCUGGCCUUGCCUGUGAGGGUGAGGAAAUCUGGUCAGCACACUGGGAAAGCUCAGGGCAGGGGAGGAGAGGCACUUGGGAAGAGGGGAUGAGAAAUAAGGGAAGGAAGCGGGAAGGCAGAGCUGGGAGCAAGCUGCCCGGGCGGGAGCAGGGAGGCUUAGUCCUGGGCUUGCCUCUGAGGGGGCUCCACAGUGCAGGGCACGCAGGGCACAGAGGCAGGGCUCGGCGCAAGGAGGGAGCAGGGGGAAGAGAGGCUGUGGGUUCCUUACUGUGGGACGAGCCAGCCGAGGGGGUGGGGGAUUUGUCCGACAGCUCCGGGAGACAGUGGGUAAUACGGUGACAGCUCGGAUGGGUGAGGGGGCCGGGGGAUUCCUGCUUCCAAAGAGAGAUGUGUCAGACUGCCCCUCGCCCUGCCAGAGCGUCGCAACGAACAUCAAAUGGGAGCGUCCUGCCCUAUGUCCCUGCUGCUCUGCAGCCUAGCGGGCGCUUGUGGCAUCGUCCUUGCCCUCUGUCACCUCCCUAGCAGCUCUCACCAGUCAGUCAAGGACACACUCAGGGAAGGCAGGACUAAUGCACCCUUCUCUAGCUGCAUGGAUUCCAUCUCUGUGAAGAGUACCUUCCAGCUGGCUGUGAUAUAGAAGCCAGUGUCCUGGAAGAGAGGACAGGACCCACAAGAUCAAUGACAAGAGUCAUUGGUGAACUAAGUCUCUAGAAAGCCCGCCUCAUUCAUGGAGAAAUAAACUUUGGAUUCCUCCUCCA